UCUCAUGGAUGAGGAAAGGAAGUGGUUUUUUGAGAUGGAAUCUACUCCUGGUGAGGAUGCUGUGAA
rnacentral:pre_miRNA from 3 species